CUACGGGGCGCAGCAGUGGGGAAUAUUGGACAAUGGAGGAAACUCUGAUCCAGCCAUGCCGCGUGAGCGAUGAAGGCCUUAGGGUUGUAAAACUCUUUCAGUGGUGACGAUAAUGACGGUAGCCACAGAAGAAGCCCCGGCUAACUCCGUGCCAGCAGCCGCGGUAAUACGGAGGGGGCUAGCAUUGUUCGGAAUUACUGGGCGUAAAGCGUGCGUAGGCGGCUUGGAAAGUUAGAGGUGAAAGCCCGGGGCUUAACCCCGGAACUGCCUCUAAAACUCCCAAGCUAGAAUAUCAGAGAGGUGAGUAGAAUUCCUAGUGUAGAGGUGAUAUUCGUAGAUAUUAGGAAGAAUACCAGUUGCGAAGGCGGCUCACUGGCUGAUUAUUGACGCUGAGGUACGAAAGCGUGGGGAGCAAACAGGAUUAGAUACCCGAGUAGUC
rnacentral:rRNA from 1 species